GAUAAUCAAUUAAUAAAUAUACAUGUAGUACAAACAGUGUCUCUAUUAGACAAUUGCUGUACAACAGAGGGACUGCCUUAGUUAAACCGAAAAGUAAAUAUAAAGUCGUCUACUCUGAUUUUUAUAUGCUAUAACACUUUAAUUCGGGAGUUACUUCGGUGUAUCCCGUUUGGUUGAUUUAUGUGUACUUGGAAAGUACGAAGACUUCUGCGCAAAAGUUUAUUUUUAUCCUAUGUGAAGAAGGAAGUUUAUGCCAUACCAACACUGAGAAGAUGCCAUGUUUGUUUGUCAUUUGUCUAGCUGUUUUCACAUUCAUUAUGCAAAUUAAAGAAAAUCUAAAUGCUACAAUUCAACUGACAGCAACUCCUUACCUGCAGACAUUUGUAUCACAUGACACGUAUGGAACAACAAAUUAUCCAGAUGGAAAUUUUACCCGCAACUGGUUGAUAACUGGACAAAUUAAUAAUUACACAAUAACAAUAGAGUUCAUGACAUGUACCUUGGAAACGGGUAAUAAUAAAGGAGUUUGUAUAGAUGACAAUGUGUAU